rnacentral:rRNA from 1 species
GAUUCCUACGGGGCGCAGCAGUGGGGAAUAUUGCACAAUGGGGGAAACCCUGAUGCAGCGACGCCGCGUGAGUGAGGAAGUAUUUCGGUAUGUAAAGCUCUAUCAGCAGGGAAGAAAAUGACGGUACCUGACUAAGAAGCCCCGGCUAACUACGUGCCAGCAGCCGCGGUAAUACGUAGGGGGCAAGCGUUAUCCGGAUUUACUGGGUGUAAAGGGAGCGUAGACGGAGGAGCAAGUCUGAUGUGAAAAUCCGGGGCCCAACCCCCGGACUGCUUUGGAAACUGUAUAGCUAGAGUGCAGGAGAG